rnacentral:rRNA from 1 species
UACGAAGGGGGCUAGCGUUGCUCGGAAUCACUGGGCGUAAAGCGCACGUAGGCGGAUUUCUAAGUCAGGGGUGAAAUCCUGGAGCUCAACUCCAGAACUGCCUUUGAUACUGGGAAUCUCGAGUCCGGGAGAGGUGAGUGGAACUGCGAGUGUAGAGGUGAAAUUCGUAGAUAUUCGCAAGAACACCAGUGGCGAAGGCGGCUCACUGGCCCGGUACUGACGCUGAGGUGCGAAAGCGUGGG